GACGAACGCUGGCGGCGCGCCUAACACAUGCAAGUCGAGCGGAGCUGAGAGGAGCUUGCUUUUCUUAGCUUAGUGGCGAACGGGUGAGUAACGCGUGAGUAACCUGCCCUGGAGUGGGGGACAACAGUUGGAAACGACUGCUAAUACCGCAUAAGCCCACGAUCCGGCAUCGGAUUGAGGGAAAAGGAUUUAUUCGCUUCAGGAUGGACUCGCGUCCAAUUAGCUAGUUGGUGAGGUAACGGCCCACCAAGGCGACGAUUGGUAGCCGGACUGAGAGGUUGAACGGCCACAUUGGGACUGAGACACGGCCCAGACUCCUACGGGAGGCAGCAGUGGGGGAUAUUGCACAAUGGGGGAAACCCUGAUGCAGCGACGCCGCGUGGAGGAAGAAGGUUUUCGGAUUGUAAACUCCUGUCGUUAGGGACGAUAAUGACGGUACCUAACAAGAAAGCAC
rnacentral:rRNA from 1 species